rnacentral:tRNA from 1 species
AAGGGUACAGCUCAGUGGCAGAGGGUGUGCUUAGCAUGCACAAGGUCCUGGGUUCAAUCCCCAGUACCUCUA